GGGCCCACUGACAGAUCACAGGCAGCUGAAAGCACAAUGCGUGUGCUGCAGUUUAGUACUAAGCAGGGAAAGGAAAAAAAAAAAAAGCCAAAAAUACAAGCCAGAUAAAAACGAGCAGGCUUAUGUAUUAACAGACACAUAAAGCAAACAGCAGAGAAUCAAGUGGAAAAUCAUUUUGUACAAAGCAGUGCUGGAAGAGAACCGGAUUUGGACAGGAGCAUUUUGGAGCAGUUUGGAAGCGGGGCAUCAUCUAUGCCCAUAUCUCUGCCUUCUUAUUGCAAGCCAAAAGCUAGAUUUUUCAAAGACCUAAACUCCAGAUUUGAGACAUGAUCAAUUUUUCCUUCAUGAACAUGUCAAUAAAUAUAUAUAUGUAUCAGAAAUUUGGUUUUCUGCUAAGAUUUUGUGUUGAUUUUGCUCUUGUUUAAAAGCCCACCAAUGUUACAAGUUCACGCCGGUUUCAUUCUCUGGAAUUGAUCUGUGCAUACACAGUGGGCAAACAGAGAUAUUGCAAAAACCUGGAUAAAAUGUCCAUCACUCCCCUUCUCCUUUUGAAGAAGAGAAUACAGCUGUGUCUUGGGAAAGCUGCUGGUACCACAGAAGGGCAAGCCACAUGUGAGACCACCUCUGUUCUUGCCUCCCCCAGCCAAAAGUUUUCUCUGACUUGUUAAGCAAAAUACAGACAGCAUGGCCUGCCAUUCCUGCAGAACUUGCUGGCCUUCUGACGCCUGAAAUAACUGGCAGACCUGUCAAAAAUGACCUUCUUUCGACAACAACUCUCUCUUUUUUAUUCCCCCCCCCCCCAGGUAGGGGGUGGGGAGGUUGGAAAACUUAAAGAUCAAGUCACAGCUGCAUGCGGUACCUAAUUAAACAAGUGUAAGAAAGCAGAGAAAGGUCAGGUUGUCAAAAAUCAUUGCUGUAUCUUUACUGGAUUGUAUUUAGAGACUGAUAGCAGCAAAGAAAAUAACUCAAUAACGUGAAUGAGACCGGAAUAACAAACUGACUCCAGGCGCAGGCUAGUUUUGAAACACAAAGGACUAAGGCUUCCCAAUUUAUGUAUAUAUAUAUAUGUGGAUGGAUAUGUAUGUGUGUAUCUACACACAGGAGACACAAAUCCAGGGGAAACAAGCCCUGGAAAUGAAAAGAAAAGUGUUUGCAAAGAGUAAAGUAAACAGAUGACAUUAACAUGGGGAAGGAGAUAGAACAGGAGAAGUUCAAACAGGAAAUGUGGCAGAAAUUAGAGGCUGGAAACACACAGGCAGAAGGAGAUAAAAGGAGAAGGAACUGAGAAAAUAAAUUAAGGACUGGAUAGGAAGGGGAAAUGUGA
rnacentral:lncRNA from 1 species